CAGCUCCCUUUCAGUAGAAACUGGCCAUGCUACGUAUUCAAUUUAGUCUUCCUCUCUUAGGUAACUGAGUGCCUUUAAAUGAGGUGAGUUUCACAUUUGUCAUAAUUUUGUGAUUCCUUAGAAGUCACUAAGAUCAAACUGCUGGCAGCUGUCCUGUAGCAGCAAACCAACAUAUGGUGGAAAGCAAAGCAGGUUCUCCUCUUUUGGAGUUUCAGCCAGUGAGAAGGAAAUCCAGUUCCUCUUCUGUCUGUUCAGCUCGCUAGAGCAGCUUCUCUUCAAAUCCACAGCAGAACCUUGUGCUCACCAGGACCCAGGAGAAAGGAGCAGGGAGCUCAAAAGAGACUGACCCAGACUUGCCCAUGAGUGUCCAGGAGUCUCCGGUGGAGGGGAAGUCAUCUUAUAGCAUGUCUAGAAGUUAUACUGAGCAAGGAAUGUUUGAGGAGGUUUAUUACAAGUCUCCAAUGCAAAGGAAAGUGGACGUUGACUUCUGUUAAUAAAGCAGCUACUGUAAAGGAAAUGGAAGUCACUAGACAUGGAAACGGGCUUCUUUUGUGGCUCAUUGGUAAAGAAUUUGCCUGCCAAUACAGGAGAUAUGCGUUUGAUCCCUGGGUUGGGAAGAUACCCUGGAGAAGGAAACAGCAACCCACUCAAGUUUUCUUGCUUGGGAAAUCCUACGGACAGAAGAGCCUGGUAGGCUACCAGCCUAGGGGUCACAAAGAGCUGGACACGACUUAGUGACUGAGCACACGUGCAGAUAUUGGAAUAUUUGUUUUGGAUUAUUUUUUCCAUCACUUAUUUUUGAAAAAUCUCUAUUCAAUCUAUUCACUUCUAAUCAACCAAAUUAUUCUGUUAGCUAUAUAUCUGGGGCUAUAGCUAAAAUCCAUGCUAUUGAUCUCUGCUUUUCUGUGCCUAAGGCUAAGUAAACUUUCAUAAAAUGCAGCAACCAACUGGCAAAAAAUAGAACAAAACAAAUAUCUUGUGCUUCAGUAUCAAUGUCAACAACUGUCUAUUACAUCCUUGCAAACUAGCUCUAAAGGUUUUAAAACCCUUAAUAUUAUUGCAUUUGCUGAAGGAUUUGGGGACAAUAUGAUUUUAAAGAAUCUAUUUACUUGUUCUGGAUAUGUUCAUAUUUUUAUUUGAAAAAAUAUUUUUUCAAUAUGAUUUUUCUAUGAUAGUAAAAGGGAGCAAAACUUAUCUUUAAUUCCUCAAAUUGAGAGGAAUGUUUAAGGCAAUUUUACAAUGUUAAUAAAUAGGAAAACCCAUUAGCAUCUGAUUUACUGGGGUAGUCAGGAUUCAAACAUGGUUUAUUGCUGUGCACUUAGCACAUAAAGCAUGCAUUUUGUUUUCAAUUUCCUUAUACUCCCAGCUGAGUGGUAAAACUAUUCUAUGCAGUAUAUUAGUAGCAAUAAUAGGGUAAAAGCUGGAGGGGGUUCUGAAAUAUCUUAAGAAAUUUAUUUCUAUUUCUGCUGUAACAACCACUCAAGGCAUAAAGUUUGUAAUGUGACACUUAUAGACUUUAAGGAUCAUUUAAAUAAAAUCUAAAACAAUAAAACAUUAGCAUUGUUAUAAAGCAGGAAAUCACAUUAAAAAUCCA
rnacentral:lncRNA from 1 species